rnacentral:rRNA from 1 species
CCAAUAGCGUAUAUUAAAGUUGUUGCAGUUAAAAAGCUCGUAGUUGAAUUUCGAGACCGGCUUACUGGUCGUGCUAUUGUACGUACUGGUAUAAUCGGUUUCUCCUUUCUGACGAACUAUAAUGCCAUUAAUUUGGUGUUAUAGGGCAUCAGGACUGUUACUUUGAAAAAAUUAGAGUGUUUAAAGCAGGCUCACGCUUGAAUACAUUAGCAUGGAAUAACGGAAUAGGACGUUUGAUUCUAUUUUGUUGGUUUCUAGGAUCGACGUAAUGAUUAAUAGGGAUAGUUGGGGGCAUUAGUAUUCAAUUGUCAGAGGUGAAAUUCUUGGAUUUAUUGAAGACUAACUACUGCGAAAGCAUUUGCCAAGGAUGUUUUCAUUAAUCAAGAACGAAAGUUAGGGGAUCGAAGACGAUCAGAUACCGUCGUAGUCUUAACCAUAAACUAUGCCGACUAGGGAUCGGAUGAUGUUAAUUUUUUAAUGACUCAUUCGGCGCCUUACG